rnacentral:rRNA from 1 species
AUUGAACGCUGGCGGCAUGCUUUACACAUGCAAGUCGAACGGUAACAGGUUAAGCUGACGAGUGGCGAACGGGUGAGUAAUGCAUCGGAACGUGCCCGAUCGUGGGGGAUAACGCAGCGAAAGCUGCGCUAAUACCGCAUACGAUCUGAGGAUGAAAGCGGGGGGCCGUAAGGCCUCGCGCGAUCGGAGCGGCCGAUGUCAGAUUAGGUAGUUGGUGGGGUAAAGGCCCACCAAGCCGACGAUCUGUAGCUGGUCUGAGAGGACGACCAGCCACACUGGGACUGAGAAAGGGCCCAGACUCCUACGGGAGGCAGCAGUGGGGAAUUUUGGACAAUGGGCGAAAGCCGGAUCCAGCAAUGCCGCGUGCAGGAAGAAGGCCUUCGGGUUGUAAACUGCUUUUGUACGGAGCGAAAAGGUCCUUUCUAAUACAGGGGGCUCAUGACGGUACCGUAAGAAUAAGCACCGGCUAACUACGUGCCAGCCGCCGCCGUAA